rnacentral:tRNA from 1 species
GGCUUCAUAGCUUGGCUGGUAGAGCGAGCGCUGUACAGCAGUGUAAGCGGCGUCCAUGUGUGGGUUCGAAUCCCACCGAGGCUG